GUGCCAGAGUGGAAGCCAGAAUGGCAUCCAGAGAGAGGCUCUUUGAACUUUGGAUGCUUUAUUGUACAAAGAAAGAUCCAGAUUACCUGAAGCUAUGGUUGGACACUUUUGUUUCUAGCUAUGAACAAUUUUUAGACGUUGACUUUGAAAAGCUGCCUACCAGGGUAGAUGAUAUGCCUCCAGGAAUAUCUCUGCUUCCUGAUAAUAUUCUGCAGGUUCUGAGGAUCCAGCUGCUACAGUGUGUUCAGAAAAUGGCAGAUGGGUUAGAGGAACAACAGCAAGCCUUGUCAAUUUUGCUUGUCAAGUUCUUCAUUAUUCUUUGCAGGUAUCUAGUAGAAAAAAUAAGCUAGUUUUCACUCAUAGGUGGGAGUUGAACAAUGAGAACACAUGGAGAUGAGGAGGGGAACAUCACACACUGGGCCUGUUGGUGGGUGGGGUGCUAGGGGAGGGAUAACAUUAGGAGAAAUACCUAAUGUAGAUGAUGGGUUGAUGGGUGCAGCAAACCACCAUGGCACAUG
rnacentral:sRNA from 1 species